rnacentral:rRNA from 1 species
AUUGAACGCUGGCGGCAGGCCUAACACAUGCAAGUCGAGCGGUAACAGGAAUCAGCUUGCUGAUUCGCUGACGAGCGGCGGACGGGUGAGUAAUGUCUGGGAAACUGCCUGAUGGAGGGGGAUAACUACUGGAAACGGUAGCUAAUACCGCAUAACGUCUACGGACCAAAGUGGGGGACCUUCGGGCCUCAUGCCAUCAGAUGCGCCCAGAUGGGAUUAGCUAGUUGGUGGGGUAACGGCUCACCAAGGCGACGAUCCCUAGCUGGUCUGAGAGGAUGACCAGCCACACUGGAACUGAGACACGGUCCAGACUCCUACGGGAGGCAGCAGUGGGGAAUAUUGCACAAUGGGCGCAAGCCUGAUGCAGCCAUGCCGCGUGUAUGAAGAAGGCCUUCGGGUUGUAAAGUACUUUCAGCGGGGAGGAAGGUGUUGUGGUUAAUAACCGCAGCAAUUGACGUUACCCGCAGAAGAAGCACCGGCUAACUCCGUGCCAGCAGCCGCCGUAAGAC